rnacentral:rRNA from 1 species
GGAUCAUUACCGAGUGAGGGCCCUCUGGGUCCAACCUCCCACCCGUGUUUAUUUUACCUUGUUGCUUCGGCGGGCCCGCCUUAACUGGCCGCCGGGGGGCUUACGCCCCCGGGCCCGCGCCCGCCGAAGACACCCUCGAACUCUGUCUGAAGAUUGAAGUCUGAGUGAAAAUAUAAAUUAUUUAAAACUUUCAACAACGGAUCUCUUGGUUCCGGCAUCGAUGAAGAACGCAGCGAAAUGCGAUACGUAAUGUGAAUUGCAAAUUCAGUGAAUCAUCGAGUCUUUGAACGCACAUUGCGCCCCCUGGUAUUCCGGGGGGCAUGCCUGUCCGAGCGUCAUUGCUGCCCUCAAGCCCGGCUUGUGUGUUGGGCCCCGUCCCCCGAUCUCCGGGGGACGGGCCCGAAAGGCAGCGGCGGCACCGCGUCCGGUCCUCGAGCGUAUGGGGCUUUGUCACCCGCUCUGUAGCCCGGCCGGCGCUUGCCGAUCAACCCAAAUUUUUAUCCAGGUUGACCUCGGAUCAGGUAGGGAUACCCGCUGAACUUAAGCAUAUCAAUAAGCGGAGGAAAAGAAACCAACAGGGAUUGCCCCAGUAACGGCGAGUGAAGCGGCAAGAGCUAAAUUUGAAAGCUGGCUCCUUCGGGUCCGCAUUGUAAUUUGCAGAGAUGCUUCGGGAGCGGUCCCCAUCUAAGUGCCCUGGAACGGACGUCAUAGAGGGUGAGAAUCCCGUAUGGGAUGGGGUGUCCGCGCCCGUGUGAAGCUCCUUCGACGAGUCGAGUUGUUUGGGAAUGCAGCUCUAAAUGGGUGGUAAAUUUCAUCUAAAGCUAAAUAUUGGCCGGAGACCGAUAGCGCACAAGUAGAGUGAUCGAAAGAUGAAAAGCACUUUGAAAAGAGAGUUAAAAAGCACGUGAAAUUGUUGAAAGGGAAGCGCUUGCGACCAGACUCGCUCGCGGGGUUCAGCCGGCAUUCGUGCCGGUGUAUUUCCCCGCGGGCGGGCCAGCGUCGGUUUGGGCGGUCGGUCAAAGGCCCUCGGAAGGUAACGCCCCUAGGGGCGUCUUAUAGCCGAGGGUGCAAUGCGACCUGCCUAGACCGAGGAACGCGCUUCGGCUCG